rnacentral:misc_RNA from 1 species
CCCAAUUACAAACCCUAAUUCUUCAUUUGGUUGCUAAUAGAAUACAUACAAACAGAAAACAAAAAUCGCAAAUUUUCUUAAUCGCAUGAAACAAAUUCAAAAUUUUCUUCAGUUCCCCGUCACCUCAUCCCCCAAUUUUCCUUGAAACAAAUCAUAAUACAAACUCCAACUACUCAAUUCAAAACCCCUCCCCUCCAAUAAGGAAAAAAAAUUCAGAAAAUUAAAAGUAGACUCUGUACCGACUUACAGUUGAAGAGCUUCUAGAAACUUGUCGUGCUCUUGUUCCGUCCAGCU